rnacentral:rRNA from 1 species
CGUAACACGUAUGCAAUUUGCCCAUAACUGGGGGAUAGCCUUCCGAAAGGAAGAUUAAUACCCCAUAACCCAGCGAAGUGGCAUCACUUUUCUGGUAAAUCUCCGGAGGUUAUGGAUGAGCAUGCGUCUGAUUAGCUAGUUGGUGAGGUAACGGCUCACCAAGGCAACGAUCAGUAGGGGGUCUGAGAGGAUGAUCCCCCACACGGGUACUGAGACACGGACCCG